UACGUAGGUGGCAAGCGUUGUCCGGAAUUAUUGGGCGUAAAGCGCGCGCAGGCGGCUUCUUAAGUCUGAUGUGAAAUCUCGGGGCUCAACCCCGAGCGGCCAUUGGAAACCUGGGAAGCUUGAGUAACAGAAGAGGAGAGUGGAAUUCCACGUGUAGCGGUGAAAUGCGUAGAUAUGUGGAGGAACACCAGUGGCGAAGGCGACUCUCUGGUCUGUAACUGACGCUGAGGCGCGAAAGCGUGGGGAGCAAACAGG
rnacentral:rRNA from 1 species